UAUAAAACAUCCCAACCCUAACUUAACCUUCGUUACACGUUCCAUGUGACACGAUGGCCACUGCGAGAGAACGGUUGAAUCUCUACCACUCGUAAUCUCCUAUGUUCACAAUCUCCUCUGACGACGAUCCUCUCUAACAAUGACCUCCUUUGGUGACGUCUUCUCAUGCGAUAGUCUCAUCACACGACUUCUCCUCUCGCGACAGCUACUCUAGCAACAAUUUCCUUAUGCGACGUCUCUUCCUGCGACAUCUCAUCUAGCGCCGGUCUCCUGUUGUGACGUCUCCUCCGGCAACCUCUCCUCUAGUGACGGUCUCCUCUUGUUACGUCUCCUCCAUUAUCAAUUUCCUCCUCUGGUAUUUUCCUAUGCGACAAUCUUAUCCAUCGAGCUACCGUGCUGUAAGUUUCUCCUCUGGCAGCAGACUCGCGAGGUAGGUUCUUCUCCCUUUUUUCCUUUGUUCUCUUGAAAAUAUUUCAUUCUAAUCGACUGUCUUAGGCUUGCCUUAGAUUGGAAGAAAAAAUUUAAUUAAAUUGGUUUAAAUCUCAGCAUAUUAGUCAAAAUAGGUUGCUUACUGUUCUCUUUAUUUUGCUUGCAAUGUUUCUUAUUCUUUAGCUGUUUCUUGUUCUGAUUUGGGGGCAGAUAAAGGUUUGAUUGGUUAAUUUGAUGAUGAAUUCUACUCUGCUUUUCUUGUUCUGAGAAGGUAGCAUGUGUGACUUCUUAGUUGCAUGCUCUUGAUUUAUUGUUUCUACCAUUGAUUUGAUAAGCAUUAUGUAUGGGAAGCAGUUGCUGACAGUAACUCCUAUGUGAUUACAGUGUACUUAAAAGCACUUAACAUUGUUUUGGACUUACCAAUAACCUUGCUGAAAAUCAUUUGGCUCUCUGCGAUGAUUCCAAGCUUUUCCCCUUGUGCUCCAAGCUCAUUUCUCUCUACAUCUCCUCACUCUUCUCCAACUCUGUGUUGUUUACAACUAGAUAAUAUGUCCUCAGAAGAAAAGUUAAAAAUUGAACUUGCAAAGGUUAAAGAUGAGUUCAAAAUGUGAGAUUCAGAUCGUGGAUCUACUCGAGUUCAAGUUGCACAACUCACAACUAAGAAGAUAUUGAAUCAAAGUUAAGAAGAACUGAGGAUGACCCUGAAGGAUCUGGGACUUCCCAUUUGCAUAGUAUUAUUCAAUGAGUUAAUUUGUAAGCUAAUCGUACUUUAAAGCCUUUGUUUGAGAGACAAGCUAAAGACGAAAAAAUUAGGACUGCCUAAGGAAAGCUGCAGAGAUUCCGAGCCCUUUCAACUUACCAGGUACUAUCCGUGGUAGCAUUAAGCAAGGGAAAAUUUGAUUUGGUAGACAGGGAAUACAAGAAGGCCAAGUCAAUUGCUCUUCCCUCUCAUGUAUGAGACUAUUAUUUUGAUUUAAAUCUUUUUAUUGGUUACUCUUGUUUGAUUGGUGGUGGUAAGCUAUAUUGUUUUAGAGGUUUAUUGAAAUUUCAAUAUACAUGUCACUGAGGUUUUUUCCAUUGAAGAGUCACCUUUCAAAAAAUGGUAGCUAUUCCAUCAUUUACCAUGUGAUAUAAUAUUUAUGGAUUUUCUCUUCUAUUUCUGAACAACUUGUCAUGCUCUUUUCUUAUUGAAGUUAGCCUUUCAUAUGAUCUUGAAUCAGAUUCAGGUGGGGAUCCUAAAAUGUGUUCUCGAAGAAGUUGAAAAAGUGAUAAAUGAGUUCAAGGCAAUGCUUUUAAAAUUGCAUUUUAUAUUGGACAUGACACUGGUACAGUUUGCCUUGGUAAAUUUAGAAUAAAACAUGACUAUUCAAAUUGUUAUGUGAGAAAAGACUGAGUCUACCCUAAUAAACAUUAUACAUUCUGGAAGUUUCUGAAAUUGUAUGAAUCUAUCAAGUAGUAUUGCCUCUUGUUUCUUUGUUUUUUUGUCUUCUUUCUAUAUUCUGCUUGCAGGGUGAUUUUUACACAUGUUUAUUCUCCAUGUAGAUUGAAAAUACUUUGAGGUUGCUAUUGGAUUUAGAACCAGAGUCUGAUCCAUUCUGACAUUAUUUGAAUAUACAGAUUUGGAAAUUUUGUUCGUACCUAUUGUUUAAAAUAUUUGUCAUUUAUUUUCAUAUUUUGCUGCUAGAGUUGUUGUAACUUUGCAUAUAUAUUGUGUAGCUUUAUAGCUCCCUUGUCCAAUGUCCCUGUUACUUUUAAUAUUCUCUUUUUGAUAAGCUUCAGUUAUUCCUUAAGAACCUUAAGGCUUGUUUGGAUUGUGAAAAUACUUUUUUAUUUCCAAUAUUUUUUGUUUUUAAGAUUGUGAAGAAAAUGAAAAUAAUAAAAUCGUAUUUUCUAUUUUCUUUUCACUCACAAAAUCCUGAAAAUGGAAAAUAUUUUCACAAAAACAAGCCUUUAGUUUUUACUUUGAGAUGGCUGAAUGUGGAGUCCAUUGGGUUCUAUUCCUUUAUAGAAUUAGAGAAUCUGAGGUUUGAUUAAGAAUUGUACAUUAGAUCAUGAGGUCAGAAUGGAACAUCUGAAGAAGAAAUUGGAUGAAAAGGGCUCUUUCUAAUGCUAAGUGGAGGAAGAUUCAUGAUGAAUUGGGUGAAUUUUUAGAUAUCAACAGCUCUCCUAUUGUUGAGCCAAUCUCAUAUGGUAGAUCUAACCGGUGAAGAGGUUGAUGCUCUAAGAGGAAAGUAUAUCCUAGAUUAACUACCGUAAUCAUCCAACACAUACCAACUUUCUGAAAGGUUGCACUCUCUGUUUUUAGUGGAAAAUUUGCUAAGGUAAAUUCUGACUGAAGUUGAGGGAUUUGAGCAAAACUCUGAAAAAGGCUGACAAAAGGACUGCUGAUGCUGUUGGAAUCUGACCUCCCUGCACUCGAAAUGGAUUUUCUGGAGCUACAGACCUCCAAUUGGCACGCUCUCAACGGCGUUGGAAAUUAGACAUCCAGGGCUUUCCAGCAAUAUAUAAUAGUCCAUACUUUAUUCGAAGAUUGAUGACGUAACUUGGCGUUAAACGCCAAGUUCAUGCUGCUGUCUGGAGUAAAACGCCAGAAAAACGUCAUGAUCCGGAGUCAAACGCCCAAAACACGUCAUAACCUGAAGUUUGACGCCAAGAAAUGCCUCUACACGUGGAUUGAUCAAGCUCAGCCCAAACACACACCAAGUGGGCCCCGGAAGUGGAUUUAAGCAUCAAUUACUUACUCAUGUAAACCCUAGUAGCUAGUCUAGUAUAUAUAGGACAUUUAUCUAUUGUAUUAGACAUCUUUUGACCACUUUAAGUCUCUAAUCAUUCGGUCACUUGAUCGUGGAGAGGGCUGGCCAUUCGGCCAUGCCUGAACCUUCUUUUACUUAUGUAUUUUCAAUAGUGGAGUUUCUGCACACCAUAGAUUAA